CAGAGGGAGCACGGUCCUGCUGACACCUUGAUUUCUGAUGCAUAGCCUCUAGAACUGUGGCAGAAUAAAUGUCUGUUGUUUUAAGCUACUGAGCUUGUGAUAGAAUAGUCCCCUCUUACCCAAGGUUUUGCUUUCUGAGGGUUCAGUUCUGUAGUCAACUUGGAAAAUUCCAGGAAUAAACACUUCAAAAGUUUUAAAUUGCACACCAUUCUGAGGAGCAUGAUGAAAUCUUGUGCUGUCCUGCCCCGGACAUGGAACAUCCCUUUGUCAUUGACGUCGUCUGCUCCUGACAUUCAACCGUGGACAUCAUCAUGGCUUGAGGAUCCAGAAUCAACUGAGGCAGAUGAUCCUCCCUUCCGACAUCAUCAGAAACUCAGGAGUGGCCCGAUGCUAUGUCACAAUGCCUGGAUCAUUCACCUCCAUUCACAUCAUGUAGGCAUUGCAUCAUCUCCCAUCAUCACAAGAAGAGGGAGACCCAGGUAAUUUUAGAGUCACUCUGGAGGGAAGAUUCGUAUCUUGAAAAAUUCUUCCAGGUGAUUUGGACAUACCUUUCUGCCUCCCAGCCACCCCCCCCCGCCAUGGCUCAUAGCCACGUCUCCGGGAUUCCUCAGCUCUAUUUCUGGAUUUGGUCAGAAAACAGCCUGCUCUGCUGGAUUAGCUCAUCUCUCCAUGGAAAUGCCACCCUGGAGUUAUGAGAGCACGGCCUCUUUCUAAGGCUUUCUGGUGCAAUGCAACCCUCCUCGAUGGCCACAGCUGAUUGACUGGAGUGAACCUGUGACCUGAACUGGGCCAGUCAGAUUUUUCAUACUGGAAAUUUGGCGUCGGAGCCCUGAGAAACAAGUCAGGUGGUCUCGGGGGCUGAAGCUACCCCUGUGGGGUGACUAGUGGAACUCCUGGUAGUGAGAAAAAGUGAGAUGAGACUGAUGAUCUUCAGAAGGAAAAGUUUGGACUAAACACCCAGAGGAAAGCUGAAAUGAGAGACCACAUGGAAUGAAGGAGAACGUGAGUAUGAGCAAGCGAAGGCACCAAAAUGUACAGGAGUUUCUCCCAACCCCAAACCAGUUCUUCAGCAGACAUCAGCUGGGCAUCCUCCAAUUUAAUUCAAUUCUGACACUACCUACCUGGAGACAGUAUCAGAUCCCACAGAUUGAGGGCUCCAUCCCACAAGACUGCCCUCUACUCCAGAUGCCAGUUGUAAGUCCCGAGUUGAGACCUGUGCUGCUGACCAACAGGCUAUAAAUUGGGCAUUCCCAAGACCCCCUUAGGGGUUGAUUUGCUAUGGCAGAUCACAGAACUCAGGGAAACUCUUUACUUAUGUUUACCCUUCUAGUAUAAAGGAUAUUACAAAGGAUAUAGAUUAAUGGCAAGAUGAAGAGGUAUAUAGGGCAAGGUAAGGGGGGAGGGGCAGAGCUUCUGUGCCCUUUCUCAGAACCUUCACACUUUCAGCAACCUACGAGCUCUCUAAAUCCUGUUUCUUUUUUUUUUGUUUGUUUUUUUGUGUUUUUUUUAUGGAGGCUUCAUUACACAUGCAUGAUUGACUAAACCAUUGAACGUUGGUGAGCAAUUUGACCUUCAGCCUGUCUCCUCCCUGGAGCCACCUCCAGGGUUGGGGUUGAACGUUUCAAACUUCUCAUGAUGUGGUUGGUUUCCUGGACAGCUAGCCCCACCCUGAGGCUACCCAGGAGCCUCCAGCCACCAGUCAUCUCAUUAGCAUACAAAAAGACCAUCACUUUGGAGACUCCAAGAGUCUUAGGAGCUGUGUUUCAAGAAAAGGAGAAAGCCAAUCACUGAGACAAGUAUUGCCAGGGAAGAAGGCUUUUUUGGGUGCUACAGCUGAGGAGCUGGGAGGUCAAAACAGUGUGGGAAAAGAAAUUUAAAAAAAUGUUAUUAAAGAAGCUACUGUCAACCUAAAGGAAGAAACUGAGGCAAAAUUAAUGAACACUACUCCCCAAAUAGGUUCUGCCCAUGGGAUGUGGAGAUGAUGAAUUUUCUAACCUCAGUGUUGCUGACACUUAGAUCCAUGCGCUUCUGGAAAGACUCAUUUCUAAGCCAUCACGGCUGAUUGAAUGAUUGUAUCCCCCAGGUGUUUAAUAAUGGAUCCAUGUCAAUCCUAAAAGAAGUAUCUGGUGGACUGCAAUAAGGUUCUGCCUGUGAUCGUCUUCAUUUUAUCAUCCACUCAUGAAGAUGUGAAAGCCAGACUUCAGACAGACAAUUAGAGGGCAUUAGUAAUGCAUAUUGGAUGAGAAGUUGUGACACAAAAUUUUAAUAGGCUGCAAAGAUGUGCUAAAAUUCACUAGGUAUAAAUGAUGUCAUAGGUUCAGGGAGAUACUGAGACAAGUGUGAACAGAAUACAUGAGAUUACACUGAAGUUCAAUUAACUGCUAGUCAAAAACUAAAAACUAAAACAAUGUAUUCUGUAGUGAACACUUGCAGAUCUGUGUGCUUAGUUCACCUUUUCUAGAAGUUGCCCCUUCCCUUGUCCAGAUGGUUGCAAAAAAGCACUGACGUCACAACAUGACCUGGUUCCUGGCCACAGUUGAUAGGUCCAGAAACUGAUACUCAACUUAAGAAUAAGGAUCUGUUCUGUUUAUUUUAAAAUCAGAACCAAGAAUGGUAAGCUGGACUGUCUUCGAAAGCCUGGACUCUAAGAAGUAAAGCUUUGGAUUUAUAGGCAGCCAUGUCCCCCACCACUGGGGUGGCAGAGGAAUCUAGUCUUUGGAGAGAGGGGUGGACAUGAGAGAUGGAAAGAGACUCCUGUCUACAUGUUCCUAUGGCUCAGUUGCAUUUCUCUUCCUUGAGUAUCACUGUAUUCUAAUAACCUAAUAGAUCCUCAUAUCUUCCCUUUCAACUCAAGCUAACUAAGUGUCUCAUAUUUGCAAAGCAAAAUGUUCCAAGUACAUGACUUAAGCUCCAGCUACAGUGCCCUGAAUAAGGGUGGGAUAAUCAUAAUAGUAAAUUUCCAAGUGGCCAAGUCUUAACUUUGCCUUGGCCACACUAAUGUGGUCCAUGUGGUCAUUUCCAGGCUCAACUUUCUGAAGAUGAUGGUCAAGAGACAGAAGUCUCUGAGGAAGAGGAGGUAGCUGUUUAGAAAUGUUUAAAGGGUUGCCAUGUAUAAGUCAAAGUAGGUGUUCUAUGUUGCUCCAACAGACAAAAAUGAUACCAAUAGUCAAAAGUUGGAAUGCAGAUUUUGACUGGACACAACAAUUGUUUUUGUAAGUAUUAGACUUAUCCAAUAAAGGAAUGGAUGACCUAGUGAAGGAUCAAGGUCUCUGUCAAUGGAAGGUUGGGUCAGAACUUAGAUAUACAUUUAUUUGGGAGUUUGAUGAAUAGAUGGCUAUUAAUAGCUGUCAUUUAUCAAAGGCUUUUUAUGUGUGAAACACUGUGCUUGACAUAUGCUUUAUGUAAAUUUACACAUCUUCAUAAUAAUCAUAUGAAUAGAUAUACCUUAUACAUUUAAUAAUAGUUAUCAAAUAUUUAUAAGAACAAUAUUUUGGUAAUUUUAAACGUAAAAUUAAAAAAAUUUGUUAUGCUUCAAUUGUAGAAUUAUGCUACAAUUAAUUUCAGUCUUUGAAGUAUUUGUAAUUUUACCACUUCAUGGCAUUUUUCUACUUUUUUUUUUUUUGAGACGGAGUCUCGCUGUGUCACCCAUGCUGGAGUGCAGUGGUGCGAUCUCGGCUCACUGCAAGCUCCGCCUCCCGGGUUCAUACCAUUCUCCUGCCUCAGCCUCCCGAGUAGCUGGGACUACAGGUGCUCACCACCAUGCCCAGCUAAUUUUUUUGUAUCUUUAGGAGAGACGAGUUUUCACCGUGUUAGCCAGGAUGGUCUCGAUCUCCUGACCUCAUGAUCCGCCCACCUCGGCCUCCCAAAGGCAUUUUUGCUACUUUUAAGUUUUAAAUUCUUUUACUGAUACAUAAUUUUAUGCAUAUUUAUGGGGUAGGUGUGAUAUUUUAUUACAUGCAUAGAAUGUGUAAUGAUGAAAUCAGGGUUUAGGGUAUUCAUCACCUCGAGGACUUAUCAUUUCUGUGUGUUGGAAACAUUUCAAAUCCUCUCUUCUGGCUAUUUUGAAAUAUACAAUACAUUGUUGUUAACUAUAAUCUACCUACUCUGCUAUUAAAUAUUAGAACUUAUUCCUUUUCUUUAACUGUAUGUUAGUUCUCACCAACCCACCUCUUUUCAUCCCCUAGCAACACCCCACCAACACACACACACACACACACACACACACACACACACACACACACACAUUUUUCAGCCUCUGGUAACUAUCAUUCUACUCUCUACCUCCAUGAGAUCAACUUUUUUAGCUCUCAUAUAUGAAUGAGAACAUGCCAUAUGUGUCUUUCUGUGCCUGGCUUACUUCAUUUAACAUAAUGACCUCCAGUUCCAUCCAUAUUGCUGCAAAUGACAGGAUUUCAUUUUUUUAUGGCUGAAUAGUAUUCCACUGUGUAUUUUUGCCAUAUUUUCAUUAUCCAUUCAUUGACUGAUGGAUAUUUUAAAUUAAUGAAUAAUUCUCAAUUUUGACUCAAUUCUAUAGGAUAUGGUGGCCCUUCCAGAUUUUCAAAUAAUACAAGCUACCACAUUUUCAUUUCCAUUAUGAUUAUUUCAGUUACAUUUACCCAAUUGCUUCCCAUAUAUUUUUCUGGAUACAAUUGAUAAUGUCCUUUUGUUUACUAUAUAGCAGGAAAACCAACUUUUGUUGUCUUAAUAUUCUCUAGCUGUGGAGUUCAACUAUUUUAUCUUUCAUAGCUGGGUAAGAACAGGAGUAAUAUUUUCUAUUUUACUGUUGAUCACCAUCCCCAAAAUCCCUAAUAUUAUCUGCUCCAUAAAAAUCCCCAAAACCAACACUCAAGGGUUUGCUUAACAUCAGACUGAAUGAAUAAUUUCUUUGAAAAGAUAACCCGAAUUUGAUAUCUAGUCUGACCUAUGAUAUUCUUUAUAAAAUAAGGAAUUAUUUUGUAUCAUACUGAAUUCUAAAAUAUAUGUUCUUGAGCUUUAAAAUGCUUUCUAAAACUUUCUAUUUAAUUCUGCAUUUUUUCACCAGCUACUGUAAAAAUUCUGCCAUAUCACAUCAUUGUUGCUUUACUUUGUUCAUCCUUUUUUUCUAGUUUGUCCCACAUUUUUUAUCUCUAUAAAAUGUCAGUGAAGAGACUAAACAUAAAUAUACAAAGAUCAUGGCUAAGCCAGAUGCAGACAGCCUGAUAGUGAAUGCCAGAUGCCAGAGAUUCUCUUCAGUUUAAAUAUUCAGCACCAGGUGGUUCAGUUGACCUAACAAAAGAACACGUGUUCAUGAGAUGCAAAGAUAGAAUUGGAGAUACUAGUUCUCAUUUGGAUAAAAUUUAGUUAUUUAAUGAAAGCAUGCAAGAAGGGUUUGAAAUCAAGUAAAAAUGAAAUUAAGUUAAAUCAUUCAUUCACAUCUAUACAGAAAGAAAAUUUUAUUGCAAUUUGUAAAAUUUCUUUUCAGAAGUAAUUCUUAGAACAAAUGCUAGUAUUUAUAAUAUCAGCUAGAGAAAAAAAUCCUUUAAUUACGCUUUAGUGAAAGCAUAAUAUUAAGUCUGUUUCCAACUCCCUGAAGAGUGGCAAUAAUUAAGAUAAUCAAUGUUUCCUAAUAUGGGUUAGAGUAGAAAUAGAAUUUCUUAUAAAACACAUUGUAUUUCUUGUUUUGAAAGAUCUCAUAGCUCAAAUUUAAGUUGUUGCCUUUAUAACUAGCUACAGUAAAUAAGCUGGCCAUGGACUUUGACCUUACACAGAAACUAAUGACCUUAGGAGUAUUUCAAGAUGUUUUAUUAACAUAAGUGAAGUGAGUUAACACAGAUAUGCUGCAAUAAGUGUUUGUGAUACGUGUUCACAUACAUGUGAAGCAUAUGUGUGUGCAUGCAGUUGAGUACUUCUGUUGUCAAAGUGGCCACUGUCUUAGAAAGCAAUCAAAUGAAGGCAGGAUGUUAACUUUACCAUUAACUAAGCAAGACGACAUUGCCAUCACUUACAUUUAUUCCUUACAAGUUACUUUUUAAGUGUACAAUAGAGGUUCAUGAGGAAGUAGCCCCUUAAAAAUGUUUUAGACAAUAUUUAAAAUAUAUAUAGCAAAUGAAUAACUAUAUAGUCAAUGCAUUGGAAUGAUAUACUUGCUGUACAUUAUUGCUUUGUAAGGGGUUGUAUUAGUUUUCUGUUACUUCUGUAACCAAUUACUACAAAUUUGACAGCUUAAACAGUGCAGACUUACCAUCUUAGGGUUCUAGAGAGUUGAAGUCCCACAUGGGUUGCCCUGGGCUAAAAUCAAGAUAUCCGUUGUGUUCUUUCCUGGAUACUCCAGGGCAGAAUCCAUUUCCUUGCCUUUUCUAGCUUGUAGAGGCCACCACAUUCCUUGACUCACAGUCCCCUUCAUCCUUCUUGAAAGCCAUCAUCAUUGCAUCACUGUGGUCACAUUCUCUGACCGACUGUGCCUCCCUCUUCAACUUUUGUGGGCCUUCGUGAUUACAUUGAGCUCACUGGACAAAAUAGCACAAUCUUCCUAUUAUAAUGUCAAUGGAUUAACAACCUCAAUUCCACCUGGUCCCUUAAUUCCUCUUUGCUAUGUAAACACUUGCAGCCCUGUGUUCACAGGUUCUGAGGAUUAGAAUGUGAACAUUUGGGGGCAACACUUAUUCUGCCCAUUACGAGGGGAUUUAGGGGGCUUCACCAUCCAAAAAGCAGACUUUUGCAUAAUUUCUUUCUUUUUAAGACAGCAGCCCAUCUUUUGCUACUCCUGGUGUUUGGACUCCCUUGAUUCAAUUUCUCUUCCUGUCUUCUGCUAUUGCAAAGGAAGGCCACAGUCUAACUGCAUGUGGCUGAGGAGGAAACCUUGGGGUUUAUCUCCUUCUUGACCAACGCUUCUCUUUUCUGUCCCAUUCUAUUUCCCUAUUUUUAGCAGUGCCGUGUCCUCCCAAUUUUGAGGCUCUUUAGGGUUCCAGCCUGUGAAUUAGUUUCCAAGCUUGGCCACUGAAAGAAGUUUCGUUCUACUUAAUAGCAUUUUUUACCCACGAUUUUUCUCUCUCUAAUUCUCUUGUUUCUUAUGGACAAAAAAUUAAUUGCUAUAAUUUUAGAAAGGUUUCAGGAGAAAGUAGAGACAUACAUGUGUGUUCCAUCAGCCAGAUAAGCAAAUAACCAGAAGUCUAAGGUACUUAUUUUUUAUAAGACAAAGUCCUAAGGCUGACAAGUAAUUUGUCUAAGAUCACAAAGACAAAUAAAUUGGAACCAGAAUUCUAUUCUGGGCUUUUCUGAUCUUUGUUUUGGGAGGAUGAUUAGAUGCAAUAAACUUUAAGGUCUCUCUUUAAUAUAAUAUAUUAAAGAUACAUUAAACCACAAUGAUUCUCAAGAUUUAUUGUCUGUCUCAGCUGAGAGGCAAUUUGUAUUAUACACAUGCCAUAUAGUUCCUACAAGAUUUUAAUUAGCUUGAGAAAUUUAUAUGUCUUCAUAACUCAUAUUGUAUCAUAUACAUGAUGGUCACCUGAUAAAUAUUAUAAAGAAAGAAUAUGAAUGCUUAUUUGCCAAACAGAAUUAAUCUUCAGAGUUUCCUAACCUGUAAUCCUAGGGUCUGGCCUAGGGCUCAGAUUAAACUCCUGAUAUAAUGUAAUGGUAAUUCCAUAGCAAGAUUCUUCACUCGAGUCAGCUGUCUGCUCACAUGUUGCUCCCAAAGCUCUUAUAGAAGCACAUUUGAGAUAAGAUGGUCAAGGUUAACUGUGUGUAUUAUUACUGCUGGGCAGCUAUUGGCAUAGUAUCUAAAUUUCAGGUAGUUGUUUUGGUAACACAUUUGAUACCUGGAGAACAUUAAUGGGAGUCAUCAAUGUUAGCGAUAUUUUCUUUGUAGUCUCCUAGCCUCAGGCAUAGUGGAGAUAGUGUUUAGGCUGAGCUAUGACCUUCACUGCUUUAAGAAUUAAAAAGUUUGCAGUGUCAAGGGAAUGAGAAGACAAGCCACAGACUGGGAGAAAAUAUCUGCAAAAGACAUAUCUGAUAAAUAACAAUUAUACAAAAUAUACAAGAAAACUCUUAAAACUCAACAAUAAGAAUACAAACAAUUUGGUUAAAUAGUAGGUAAAAGACCUUAACAGACAACUUACCAAAGGAUAUAUUCAGUUGGAGAAUAAGCCUAUGAAAAGAUGGUCUACAUUUUAUGUUAUCAUGGAAAUGAAAAUUAAAAUGACAAAGAGAUAUCACUAUGCACCUAUUAGAAUGGCCAAAAUCCAGAAUGCUGAUAAAACCAAAUGCUGACAAGGAUGUGGAGCAACAGGAACUCUCAUUCAUCGCUGGUGGAAAUACAAAAUGGUACAUCACUUUGGAAGACAGUUUGGCAAUUUCUUACAAAACUAAACAUGCUCUUACCAUAUGAUCCAGCAAUCAUGCUACUUGGUGUUUACACAAAAGAGUUGAAAACUUAUGUCCACACAAAAACGUGAACAUGGAUGUUUAUAGCAGCUUUAUUCAUAGUUGCCCAAACUCAAAGGCAACCAAGAUGUCCUUCGGCAGGUGAAUGGGUAAAUAAACUCUGGUGCAUCCAGACAAUAGAAAACUAUUCAGUGCUAAAAAGAAAUAAGCUGUCAAGCCAUGAAAAGACAUGGAGGAAAUUUAAAUGCAUAUUACUAAGUGAAAGAAGCCAAUCUGAAAAGGCUACAUACUGUGUGAUACCAACUACAGAUGCUCCUCUACUUACUAUAGGAUACUUCCCAAUAAACCCAUUGUAAAUUGAAAAUAUCCUAAGUCAAAGAUGGCUGUUUUUGUUAGACAUGAUGGGAUGGGAAAUCACAGACACAACACCCAAAAAACGCUGGCAAGACAGUACACUUUAGAGCAUCAAUUGUUUACCCUCAUGGCGGCGUGGCUGACUGGGAGCUACUGCUCACUGCUGUUUUCUAGUAUGGCAAGAGCAGCAACAGAGAGUCUCCUAUCAUGUAUUGCCAGCCCAGGAAAAGAUCAGAAUUGACAAUUUGAAGUACAGAUUCUACUGAAUGCAUAUCACUUUCGCACAGUGCUAAAGUUGAAAAACAGUAAGCCAAACCAUCAUAAGUUGGGGACCGUCUGUAUAUGACACCCUGGAAAAGGAAAAACUAUUCAGAUAGGAAAAAGAUCAGUGGUUGUCAGGGGUUGACGGGGGGAUGAACAGGUGGAGCUCUGAGGAUUUUUAGGCAGUGAAAAUACUCUGUAUGAUGCUAUAACUAUGGAUAUGUAUCAUUACAGAUUUCUCCAAACCCAUAGAAUGUACAACACAAGAAUGAAUCAUAAUGUAAACCAUGGACUUCGGGUGAUAAUGUUUCAGAGUAGGUUCAGCAAUUGUAAAAAUGCACCACUGUGGUGGGGGAUGUUGAUAAUGGGGAGGCUAUGCAUGUGUGGAGGUAAGAAGUAUAGGGGAAUUCUCUGUACCUUCUGCUCAAUUUUGCUGUGAAUCUAAAACUGCUUUAAAAAAUAAAGUCUAUAAAAAAAGGA